GGGGCUGUAUAGAUUCGACGGGAAAAGUUCCUAAUAAUUUCAAGCCGAGCAGGUUACGAGUCUCGUAAAAUCCGUGACAAAAUCAAACGAAAAACCUUCGUUUACCCCUGCUUUAGCUCUAGCUUAAUCGCUUCGGCUAGCAGCGUCUCCUCAUUUGUCGACUGAAUGAAUGAUACGAGGCGUUACAAAUCAGUCUGCUGCUUAUUGAGAUAUCUUUGGUAAAUAGGCAAAAGAAAACGAAAGAACAAUUUUGCUUCGCAAAAUUUAAGCUUGUCAAUGAUUAUUAAUGCUUUUUUUGGACAGGAGUGCAAUUCUCCUCAGCUCCACCA
rnacentral:tmRNA from 2 species